AUGUGUGUUGCUGUGCGCAGACCCACACGCACCAGACGCACACACGCAUACACACACGCGUACACACACACACACACACACACACACACACGCAUGAAGGAAUGUACCUCCUCGCUUGAUGUCAAACUUAAGGUGCUUGAGUCAACCUGUUCUAUUUCAUGUAGGCUACGCCGUCUAGGCUUCGCCUUAUGGGCUUGUCCCGUGCGCGCGCACGGGACAAGCCCGGGCUCCUCCCGCCAGCAGGCUAAGAGGAAGCGGGGUCUAGGCCGGACCCAGCGUUCCAUGGGGCCGCCUCCGACUCCAGCCCCGGUGCAGCAGCCGCAGCCGCCGCGCACGGGGAGAGCAGCAGCGCCACGGACCGGGAAGGUCCUGACGCUUGCUCCUACUUUUUCUUUCCCUAUUAAAGAAAAGAGUAAAGACCGUUCGGCCGAACGGCAGUACAUGGUACCUAAAGAGCGAUAUUCCCCAGGCCACCUGCGUCCUACGCUUGUGGUGCGCUCCUCCAUGUUGCCUCUUUCCCCCUCUCAGCCCGGUGGCUGUAGGGUGGCGGUCGGACGGCGUGUUCACAUGGCCUCUGGUUCACCUGCUUCUAAGAAGCGGCGUCCCUUGGAGCCUCGUGGACGGAUCAGAGACUCGUUGCACGGUCUCCUGGUUCCCCACAUUAUAGGUGAGGAGAUGGGUCCGCGGGCUACAGCCUGCGGACAGCGCAUGCGCACAGGUGCUGCGGCCGGACGGCUCGCUCCCUGUUCAGCGGGCACGAGCGCGACGUCUAGACAGCUCGUUGUUUUUACAACUGCUAGUUGUGGUACGUCUCCUACGCUCGCUGAGCCUCCUCCCUUUCGUGGGAAGCCCCCCUUGGUUCACACGCAGUGUGAAGGCGGUAGGGGCAGAGGAAUACGGGUUAUUCCUGGACGGUCUUCCUCAGCUGUCGGCUCGCCCUCUCUCCAACCGCUAUGCGUGUUGGCAAGAGCGGUGCGUUCUGCCAUCGUGGUUGGACACCACGUUGAGAUGGGGCCAUCCCAUACAGUUCAAGCGUCGUCCCCCACCCUUUAUGGGGUUGGUGGAGACCACGCUACGGGACCCGGCUGCGAGCACGGCUCUGGCAGCAGAGGUGGCACGUCUCUUGGUAAAGGGGGCCAUCACUGUCGUUCCCCCCCACGAGUCUCACCUAGGUUUUUAUUCCCGCUACUUCCUGGUUUCCAAGAAGUCAGGGGAAAUGAGACCUAUUCUGGAUCUUCGCGUGUUCAACAGAUUCGUUGCCACGAGGAAGUUCAGAAUGCUCACGGUCGGAGCAUUGUUCCGGUGUGUGAGAGAGGACGAUUGGUUCACAUCCCUGGAUCUCAAGGAUGCUUACUUCCACGUCCCUGUUCGGCAGGCGCACAGGAAGUUUCUCCGCUUUGCCUUUAUGGGGAUGGCGUACGAGUACCAGUGUCUGCCGUUCGGCUAUUCCCUGGCUCCGCGCACCUUCUCGAAGUGUGUGGAGACGGCGUUGGAACCGCUCAGACGUCAGGAAAAGAGGAUUCUCUUCUACCUAGACGAUCUGCUUAUUCUGAGCAACUCAGAAGAGACCGCGAGAAGGGACACCAUGCUGGUGAUAAACCAUUUCUCCUUCCUGGGUUUUGCCAUCAACUGGGAGAAGAGCUCCCCGCUCCCCAGCCGGCAGACAGUCUACUUGGGGCUUUGCCUAGACUCAGCCACCAUGACUGCGAUGCUUUCGCCUCCUCGGCGAGACGCCAUCCUGUCGGCGCUCUCCCGUUUUCACGUUCGCAGAAACGUGACCGCACUGUCCACCAUGCGCCUGUUGGGGCUGAUGGCAGCUGCCCACCCCGUGGUCCCCCUGGGUCUGCUUUUUAUGCGCAGACUCCAGCGGUGGUUUGCUCGCCAACGGUUGGACCCCAGGCGACACAAGCUCAGGGUGCUCCUCGUCCCCCGUUCGGUGUCGCCAGACCUGGAAUAUUGGAAAGGACCCUCCGCCCUUCUCAAGGGUGUUCCACUGGGCAGGGUGGCGUCCUACGUAGUGGUCUUCACGGACGCCUCGUUGACGGGUUGGGGAGGAACGUGCCUCUCUCACUCGGUCGGAGACGAGUGGCGCACGCCCCCUACAGCACACAUAAAUGUGUUGGAGAAAGUGCUGUGAGGAAAGUGCUGUUGCAUUUCUUUCACCUGGUGCGCGGCCGCCACGUUCUGAUCAGGACAGACAGCGUGUCGGCGGCGGCGUACAUCAACAGACAGGGGGGAGUCCGCUCCCCUGCUCUCCACCGAAAUACGGUCGAGCUCUGGCUUUGGGUUCAUCAGUAUCUCCGCAGUCUGAGAGCCCUGCAUAUCGCGGGCGCCCAGAACUUUGGGGCGGACCUCAUGUCUCGAGGCGGUCCCCGCCGAGACGAGUGGCGGUUACAUCCCGACAUUGUCAGACUGAUCUGGCAGAGGUUCGGGACAGCGCAGGUGGACCUCUUCGCGUCCCGGGAGAACACGCACUGCAGGUGGUGGUUCUCCCUCAGCCCUCGGGAUCUUCCCCCGUUGGGGGUAGAUGCGUUGGCACACACACCUUGGCCGCGGGCUCUCUUGUAUGCGUUUCCCCCGCUCCAGCUGAUCCUUCCUCUUCUGGAACGGGUCAGACAGGAGAGACUGUCCCUGAUAUUAGUGGCCCCGGAGAACCGUUCAGCUCUGUGGUUUCCAGAGCUUGCCGCGCUCUCGCGGUCGGCGCCUUGGCCAGUACCAUUCAGGCCGGAUGCGCUUUCACAGGCCCACGGGACGGUGCACCACCCGCCCGAUGUCUCGGGACGGCUGUUGGUUUGGCUCCUGAGAGGUUGA
rnacentral:lncRNA from 1 species